GACGAACGCUGGCGGCGUGCUUAACACAUGCAAGUCGAACGGAAAGGCCCCUUUGGGGGUACUCGAGUGGCGAACGGGUGAGUAACACGUGAGUAACCUGCCCUUGACUUCGGGAUAACUUCAGGAAACUGGGGCUAAUACCGGAUAGGAAUCCUUGCUGCAUGGUGGGGGUUGGAAAGCUUCGGCGGUUUUGGAUGGACUCGCGGCUUAUCAGCUUGUUGGUGGGGUAGUGGCUUACCAAGGCUUUGACGGGUAGCCGGCCUGAGAGGGCGACCGGCCACAUUGGGACUGAGAUACGGCCCAGACUCCUACGGGAGGCAGCAGUGGGGAAUAUUGCACAAUGGGCGGAAGCCUGAUGCAGCAACGCCGCAGGCGGGAUGACGGCCUUCGGGUUGUAAACCGCUUUCAGCAGGGGCGAAGCUUGUGGUGACGGUACCUGCAGAAGAAGCACCGGCUAACUACGUG
rnacentral:rRNA from 1 species